UAUUCCUACGGGGCGCAGCAGUGGGGAAUAUUGCACAAUAGGGGAAACCCUGAUGCAGCGACGCCGCGUGAGUGAAGAAGUAUCUCGGUACGUAAAGCUCUAUCAGCAGGGAAGAAAAUGACGGUACCUGAUUAAGAAGCCCCGGCUAACUACGUGCCAGCAGCCGCGGUAAUACGUAGGGGGCAAGCGUUAUCCGGAUUUACUGGGUGUAAAGGGAGCGUAGGCGGUGCGGCAAGUCUGAUGUGAAAGCCCGGGGCUCAACCCCGGGACUGCAUUGGAAACUACCGAACUAGAGUGUCGGAGAG
rnacentral:rRNA from 1 species